GACGAACGCUGGCGGCGUGCCUAAUACAUGCAAGUUGAGCGCUGAAGGUUGGUACUUGUACCAACUGGAUGAGCAGCGAACGGGUGAGUAACGCGUGGGGAAUCUGCCUUUGAGCGGGGGACAACAUUUGGAAACGAAUGCUGAUACCGCAUAAAAACUUUAAACACAAGUUUUAAGUUUGAAAGAUGCAAUUGCAUCACUCAAAGAUGAUCCCGCGUUGUAUUAGCUAGUUGGUGAGGUAAAGGCUCACCAAGGCGAUGAUACAUAGCCGACCUGAGAGGAUGAUCGGCCACAUUGGGACUGAGACACGGCCCAAACUCCUACGGGAGGCAGCAGUAGGGAAUCUUCGGCAAUGGACGAAAGUCUGACCGAGCAACGCCGCGUGAGUGAAGAAGGUUUUCGGAUCGUAAAACUCUGUUGGUAGAGAAGAACGUUGGUGAGAGUGGAAAGCUCAUCAAGUGACGGUAACUACCCAGAAAGGGACGGCUAACUACGUG
rnacentral:rRNA from 1 species